AUUGAACGCUGGCGGCAGGCUUAACACAUGCAAGUCGAGCGGUAGCACAGUGCAUCUUUCUCCCUGUGUGACGAGCGGCGGGCGGGUGAGUCAUGUCUGGGAAACUGUCUGAUGGAGGGGGAUAACUACUAGCAACGGUAGCUACUACCUCAUAACGUCGCAAGCCCAAAGAGGGGGGGCUUCUGGCCUCUUGCCAUCAUAUAUGCCCCGAUGGGCUUAGCUAGUAGGUGGGGUAAUGGUUCACCUAGGUGACGAUCUCUAGCUGGUCUGAGAGGAUGAGCGGCCACACUGGAACUGAGCCACGGUCCAGAGUCCUACGGGAGGCAGCAGUGGGGAAUAUUGGACAAUGGGGGCAAGCCUGAUGCAGCCAUGCCGCGUGUGUGAAGAAGGCCUUCGGGUUGUAAAGCACUUUUAGCGAGGAGGAAGGUGGUGAGCUUAAUACGUACAUCAAUUGACGUUACUCGCAGAAGAAGCACCGGCUAACUCCGUG
rnacentral:rRNA from 1 species